ensembl:lncRNA
ACACUCAUAUCUCUCACAUACCUUCGUACCCCUGGUGUCAUCCAACAAUGCAGACAAGUUUCAUUUGGUUUUAAACUCCAUAAUAAUAAUAACUUCUGUCAAACUGAUUCAAUAGCUCUGAUUUUUGUAUUCUUUGUAGCUCUUAGAAGAAAUGCCAACUGUUUUUAACUUCUGUGGUAUUAAAUGAAUGAAUGAAUGCCGAUUGAUUGAUUACAUCGUGGAUAAGCAUUAACAAAGUCUUGUGUUUAACCAACAGCCACUGUUGAGCAGCACCUUCGAGAUCUGCAACGGAUUAUCAACCCUUCUGGCCCAGAGGAUAAACAAGAUCUCUCCCGAAUGUUGGGUUAAAAAACACAACAUGAAAAAAGAUUAAUCUUCCACUGUAUUAUUUAGCUCUGCUUAAUGCAAACACAUUUUAAUAAUAUAUAAAUGUAACAUAUUUUACAUUUUUGUGACAGUUUAUUCAUCAACAUUAUUUGUAUUGUCACAUAUAAUACAGUGCUUUGAAUCAUUUUUGCACUUUUGAAUGUCAAAUGUGAAGUUUGUGUGUUAAUGUUUGUAUCUACACAGGAUGAAUAAGCGCAUCUUCUAUUUUUAGACUAAUUACAGAAAUUUAAAAACUUUCUUUGAAUGUAAUUAAUUGAGCCUGCCUCGUCUUUAUAAACAGAACUGCUUACGAUAUAUUAUCCAAUAAAGAGCCGGAAGCAACAGUUUGUCCCCAUGUGCGUCACCUAUUGUGUUACCUAUUGUGUAAUUAUCUACAAAAGACCCCUCGGCCCCUCCUGUAAUGUUUUAGACGAGAUUUUCUGGCACCGGCUCUUAAUCCCUCGACCGUGUUUAUGUUUACCUGCCAACGUGUCAGCAGUCCUGAAGAGGCACAUGGGGGGGACUUUUUGGAAGGCUCUUGUAUACAUGCUUUUGUUAAAAACAAUGUGCCAUCACUUUACUGUGGAGAACACGGAUAUCCAUUUUCUAAAUAAAAUCCUAAUACAUCUCUCACAAAGAAAACAGAAGGAUGGAGCUCGUCUUAACCUUUCCCAAAAGAUGUGAAUCGCCAAAAGCUGACAGAUUUUAAAUGUAAUCUUUGCUGGGUUUAUAAAAAAAUACAGAUACAGUAUUAAUAUAGAAAAAUAUAACAGGGUUGAUUGUGUGCAUAAGUAAAUAACCCAUAUUUUAACAUUUGUGAGGUAUGGAUUCAACACCACCAUGGAGGAGGGAAACCGAGCAUCAUGAGAACAGACAAACAUCCUGUUCGUUGCACUGUGGAAGGAUGGGAACGUUCUUUUAAUUCAAGAACCGAGAGUGUAUUGUGUUUGGCGCCAAUUAAUAAAAACAGCACUUAGACUUAGAGCUCCUUCCUGUCUAAAGGAUAUCCUUUGUUUAACGGCAAGUGUUUUUCCACGUUUGGGAUGGGCAGAGGAGCUGUGAGGAUGUCAAAGGUUAACUGGUUGGAUACUUCUGCGAAUCAGACCGACUGAGACACAGGAAGUGUUAAAACCUCAAGAAUGGAAAAUCAUCAUGAUGAUGCUGGCCAAUGUGUUUCCUGUCAUUUCAGUGCAUUAUCCUGCCCACUCUUGACAUUUCUUCAUUUCCUGUACACAAAGGAUGCGAUUGACCAAUGUUUUUACUGACACAGUUGGCAAUGAUUGCUAAUACAUAAUUAUUCAUUUACCUUGUAUACAAUAAACUACUAAAUUACAAACAGACAA